rnacentral:misc_RNA from 1 species
CCAAACUUGGUCAUUUAGAGGAAGUAAAAGUCGUAACAAGGUCUCCGUUGGUGAACCAGCGGAGGGAUCAUUACCGAGUUUUAUACAACUCCCAAACCCAUGUGAACUUAUACCAUACCGUUGCUUCGGCGGGUUUCAACGCCCCGGACCGCACCUGCACCCCAGGUGAUGCCGGACGCGGCAGGACCCAGGCGCCCGCCGGAGGACCCAAACUCUUCUGUAUCUACGCUACGCAUGUCUGAGUGGAUUUAAAUAUCAAUGAAUCAAAACUUUCAACAACGGAUCUCUUGGUUCUGGCAUCGAUGAAGAACGCAGC